GAUCAUAGCUUCGGCCAAUAAUUUAGGUUGUUCCUCUGGAAUAUAAUGCCCAUUUCCCGAAAUUAACCCGCCACUGACAUUAGUGCCUAACGGUUCUAUAGCUUCAAAUAUAUUAGGAGCACUUCCAAUUUCUUCACCAAGGACAAGUAAUGGGACGUCAAUCAAUACAGACUUUAUUAACUUGUUUUGCUCGAAAUCUUCCAAAACAGCCCGGUAGUAUUCAAGCAUCUCCCACAUUCCUCCUAGCAUUUGGUAAGCGCGCUUGUAUUCUGUAAAAUCAUUUUCAGAAAAACAAGCAUUAAAAUAAUACAGCCUUUCUUUUGAAAAACCACUCCAUAAAGAUUCUUUCACGUUCACGCAAAAGUUCUUCUGGUAGAUCAAGGACUGUAUUGAAUAGGAAAUGCCAACUUCGCCAAUUGUCCGGACCUAGUUCUAUGGACGAUGGAUGUGUAAUUCCUGGAAUUCUCAUCUAAUAGCACAGCUACGAAGAGUUCAGCUCAAAAUAGUGAACAAUAUGGAUAAGUAAUCCAAGUACCGACAUCAUGACCGACAAGGAAAUAUUUAUCAACCUUAAAUGUUUUCACUAGAUAAUGAAUACGCUUUGCAGCCGUCUGUAUGUCAUAACCAACAAGCGGUUUUUCUGAGUCACCUUAACCAGGUAAGUCUACUGCAACCACAAGUAUCGACCAGAAAGCAGUGGCAUGACGUGGCGCCAUGCGUAGCAAGUUUGAGGAAAUCCUGCUAAUAAUAUUACUAAUGGUCCCAUAUCCAUUUCUACAAUAUGCAGAC